GCAAGUCGAGGGGUAACAUGAGUGCUUGCACUCGCUGACGACCGGCGCCCGGGUGAGUAACGCGUAUAGAACCUACCUUUUACAGAGGAAUAGCCUUUAGAAAUGAAGAUUAAUGCCACAUAGUAUUGCGACUCGGCAUCGAGAUGUAAUUAAAGAUUUAUCGGUAAAAGAUGGCUAUGCGUCCUAUUAGUUAGUUGGUAAGGUAACGGCUUACCAAGACAUCGAUAGGUAGGGGUCCUGAGAGGGAGAUC
rnacentral:rRNA from 1 species